AGUUUGAUCCUGGCUCAGAGCGAACGCUGGCGGAAUGCUUAACACAUGCAAGUCGUACGGGCGGCUUCGGCUGUCAGUGGCGGACGGGUGAGUAACGCGUAGGAACGUGUCCUGUGGUGGGGGAUAACGCUGGGAAACUGGCGCUAAUACCGCAUGAGGCCUGAGGGUCAAAGCCGUGAGGUGCCAUGGGAGCGGCCUACGUCCGAUUAGCUUGUUGGUGGGGUAAUGGCCUACCAAGGCUGCGAUCGGUAGCUGGUCUGAGAGGAUGAUCAGCCACACUGGGACUGAGACACGGCCCAGACUCCUACGGGAGGCAGCAGUGGGAAAUAUUGGACAAUGGGCGAAAGCUGAUCCAGCAAUUCCGCGUGGGUGAAGAAGGUCUUCGGAUUGUAAAGCCCUUUCGGCAGGGACGAUGAUGACGGUACCUGCAGAAGAAGCCCCGGCUAACUUCGUGCCAGCAGCCGCGGUAAUACGAAGGGGGCUAGCGUUGCUCGGAAUGACUGGGCGUAAAGGGCGG
rnacentral:rRNA from 1 species